rnacentral:rRNA from 1 species
UACGUAGGGUGCAGGCGUUAAUCGGAAUUACUGGGCGUAAAGCGCGCGUAGGUGGUUUGUUAAGUUGGAUGUGAAAUCCCCGGGCUCAACCUGGGAACUGCAUUCAAAACUGACAAGCUAGAGUAUGGUAGAGGGUGGUGGAAUUUCCUGUGUAGCGGUGAAAUGCGUAGAUAUAGGAAGGAACACCAGUGGCGAAGGCGACCACCUGGACUGAUACUGACACUGAGGUGCGAAAGCGUGGGGAGCAAACAGG